rnacentral:rRNA from 1 species
UUUCCUACGGGAGGCAGCAGUGAGGAAUAUUGGUCAAUGGGCGCGAGCCUGAACCAGCCAAGUCGCGUGAGGGAAGACUGUCCUAUGGAUUGUAAACCUCUUUUAUCGGGGAGCAAAAGUUUCCACGCGUGGCGUUCCGAGAGUACCCGAAGAAAAAGCAUCGGCUAACUCCGUGCCAGCAGCCGCGGUAAUACGGAGGAUGCGAGCGUUAUCCGGAUUUAUUGGGUUUAAAGGGAGCGCAGGCGGAUUAUCAAGUCAGCGGUAAAAUUGUGCGGCUCAACCUCUUCACUCCGGUGAA